rnacentral:rRNA from 1 species
UGCGUAGGGCGCAAGCGUUGUCCGGAAUUACUGGGCGUAAAGGGCUCGUAGGUGGCCAACUAAGUCGGACGUGAAAUCCCUCAGCUUAACUGGGGAACUGCGUCCGAUACUGGAUGGCUUGAGUUUGGGAGAGGGAUGCGGAAUUCCAGGUGUAGCGGUGAAAUGCGUAGAUAUCUGGAGGAACACCGGUGGCGAAGGCGGCAUCCUGGACCAACACUGACACUGAGGAGCGAAAGCCAGGGGAGCAAACGGG